rnacentral:rRNA from 2 species
GCGGCGGACGGGUGAGUAACCGUGGAUAACCUACCUAUAAGACUGGGAUAACUUCGGGAAACCGGAGCUAAUACCGGAUAAUAUAUUGAACCGCAUGGUUCAAUAGUGAAAGACGGUUUUGCUGUCACUUAUAGAUGGAUCCGCGCCGCAUUAGCUAGUUGGUAAGGUAACGGCUUACCAAGGCAACGAUGCGUAGCCGACCUGAGAGGGUGAUCGGCCACACUGGAACUGAGACACGGUCCAGACUCCUACGGGAGGCAGCAGUAGGGAAUCUUCCGCAAUGGGCGAAAGCCUGACGGAGCAACGCCGCGUGAGUGAUGAAGGUCUUCGGAUCGUAAAACUCUGUUAUUAGGGAAGAACAAAUGUGUAAGUAACUAUGCACGUCUUGACGGUACCUAAUCAGAAAGCCACGGCUAACUACGUGCCAGCAGCCGCGGUAAUACGUAGGUGGCAAGCGUUAUCCGGAAUUAUUGGGCGUAAAGCGCGCGUAGGCGGUUUUUUAAGUCUGAUGUGAAAGCCCACGGCUCAACCGUGGAGGGUCAUUGGAAACUGGAAAACUUGAGUGCAGAAGAGGAAAGUGGAAUUCCAUGUGUAGCGGUGAAAUGCGCAGAGAUAUGGAGGAACACCAGUGGCGAAGGCGACUUUCUGGUCUGUAACUGACGCUGAUGUGCGAAAGCGUGGGGAUCAAACAGGAUUAGAUACC